rnacentral:pre_miRNA from 1 species
AAACUAUUGUCGUAGGCCGUUGGAUCGAGAACGCAUGGUUCAGAUGAAAGGUGGGAAUCUAACCAACCACUUAAACAUGCUUUUGCACAUAAACUUAAGUGGUUGGUUAGAUUCCCACCUUUCAUCUGAACCAUAAGUUCUCGAUCCGAUGGCCUACGAAGAUAGUUU